CAAUAGCGUAUAUUAAAGUUGUUGCAGUUAAAAAGCUCGUAGUUGGGUUUCGGGGCAGCCUGGCUGGUCCGCCGCAAGGCGAGUACUGGUCAGCCGCCCUUCCUCUCGAAAGCCCCGACUGCUCUUCAUUGCAGUGGUCGGGUAGUUCGGGACGUUUACUUUGAAAAAAUUAGAGUGUUCAAGGCAGGCCUACGCCUGAAUACAUUAGCAUGGAAUAAUGGAAGAGGACCUCGGUCCUAUUUUGUUGGUUUCCAGGGCCGAAGUAAUGAUUAAGAGGGACAGUUGGGGGCAUUCGUAUUUAAUUGUCAGAGGUGAAAUUCUUGGAUUUGCGAAAGACGAACUACUGCGAAAGCAUUUGCCAAGAAUGUUUUCAUUAA
rnacentral:rRNA from 1 species